rnacentral:rRNA from 1 species
CAGCCGCCACGGUAACACGAAGGGGGCUAGCGUUGUUCGGAAUUACUGGGCGUAAAGCGCACGUAGGCGGAUAUUUAAGUCAGGGGUGAAAUCCCGCAGCUCAACUGCGGAACUGCCUUUGAUACUGGGUAUCUUGAGUAUGGAAGAGGUUAGUGGAAUUGCGAGUGUAGAGGUGAAAUUCGUAGAUAUUCGCAGGAACACCAGUGGCGAAGGCGGCUAACUGGUCCAUAACUGACGCUGAGGUGCGAAAGCGUGGGGAGCAAACAGGAUUAGAUACCCGCGUAGUCCCUGUCUCUUAUAC